rnacentral:ncRNA from 2 species
CCGCACGCGUCGGGAGAGCGCGUGGUUUCGUUCAUGCAGCGAAGACCGCGCCGCCGAAGGGGCACACCCGCAAACUCUCAGGCAAAAGGACCGACUGCGUCGAG